rnacentral:rRNA from 1 species
AGGGUUUGAUCCUGGCUCAGAACGAACGUUGGCGGCGUGGAUUAGGCAUGCAAGUCGAACGAGAAAGUCACCUUCGGGUGGCGAGUAAAGUGGCGAAAGGGUGAGUAACGCAUAGGCAACCUGCCCUUUAGACCGGGACAAUAGUUCGAAAGGACUUCUAAUACCGGAUGUUACUUGAGCUUCGCAUGGGGCUCAAGUCAAAGGCGGGGACCCGCAAGGGCCUGCCACUAAAGGAUGGGCUUAUGUCCUAUCAGCUUGUUGGUGAGGUAACGGCUCACCAAGGCGGCAACGGGUAGCCGACCCGAGAGGGCGAUCGGCCACACUGGGACUGAGACACUGCCCAGACUCCUACGGGAGGCUGCAGUCGAGAAUCUUUUGCAAUGGGCGAAAGCCUGACAAAGCGACGCCGCGUGGAGGAUGAAGGUCUUCGGAUUGUAAACUCCUUUUAGAGGUUAUGAAAAACCAUCGUGCUAAUACCACGGUGGCCUGACAAAGGCCUCAGAAAAAGCUCCGGCUAACUUCGUGCCAGCAGCCGCGGUAAUACGAAGGGAGCUAACGUUGUUCGGAUUUACUGGGCAUAAAGAGCUCGUAGGAGGCUUGGCAAGUGGGGUGUGAAAUCCCUCGGCUCAACCGAGGAAUUGCGCUUCAAACUGCCUUGCUUGAGUGUAAGAGGGGAGAGUGGAACUCUUGGUGGAGCGGUGAUAUGCGUUGAUAUCAAGGGGAACGCCGGUGGCGAAAGCGACUCUCUGGCUUACUACUGACUCUGAGGAGCGAAAGCUAGGGGAGCAAACGGGAUUAGAUACCCCGGUAGUCCUAGCCGUAAACGAUGGAUACUAAGCAGAGGAGAUUCCGAUGUCCUCUCUGCUGUAGCUAAUGUGCUAAGUAUCCCGCCUGGGGAGUACGACCGCAAGGUUAAAACUCAAAGGAAUUGACGGGGGCUCGCACAAGCGGUGGAGUAUGUGGUUUAAUUCGAAGCAACGCGAAGAACCUUACCAGGGCUUGACAUGCUCGAAGUAGAAUCCUGAAAGGGUGACGAACGGUAUCCAAUCCGUAACGAGCACAGGUGUUGCAUGGCUGUCGCCAGCUCGUGUCGUGAGAUGUUGGGUUAAGUCCCGUAACGAGCGAAACCCCUGUCCUUAGUUGCCAGCGGUUCGGCCGGGCACUUUAGGGAAACCGCCGGUGUUAAACCGGAGGAAGGCGGGGACGACGUCAAGUCAUCAUGGCCCUUAUGUCCUGGGCGACACACGUACUACAAUGGCAGCUACAGAGAGACGCUAAGCCGUAAGGUGGAGCAAAUCUCAAAAAAAGUUGCCCCAGUUCGGAUUGAAGGCUGAAAUUCGCCUUCAUGAAGUCGGAAUCGCUAGUAAUCGCAGAUCAGCCAUGCUGCGGUGAAUAUGUUCCCGAGCCUUGUACACACCGCCCGUCAAGCCACGAGAGCAGGUAGUACCCGAAGUCCGUGGUCCAACCCCGUUUCGGCGGGGAGGAAGCGGCCGACGGUAAGAUCUGUGGUUGGGACUAAGUCGGAACAAGGUA